GGGGCUUCCAGAGAGGCCUCCGAGUAGGCCUCCCUGAAGCCUGAACUCAGCAGCCCCCAGCAAGCCAGGAAGGAGGCUGGCAGAGUUCCCUGCAGAGACCCUCUGCCCAGACCAGUACAGCCUUUGCCAGACUACACAUGAUACAGUGGUACCAUAAUUGCUAUCAUCUUACCUGUGGGAUGGGAGCAGGAUAGCGAAGGAUCGAAUCUUGGGUUGUCAGAGAUGGAGAGGCUCUUAUUUCCACAGGGAGCACAUUCCAGAGGCCCGGAGCAGCAACAGAGAAGGCCUGUCCCUGUGUGUCCACCAGAUGAG